UUUCUUCAUAGUUUGAAUGGCUUGUGUUUGGGUCCUGUGUGUGAGUAUUUGGUGACUGCUUGAGUAGGUGAAUGUCGGGUGUGUGUGUGUGCGUGAGUGAGUGUGAGUGAGUGUAUAUUUCUGUAAAAACCUACACCGUGAUCUUAUUUGAUUUGGUCUGAGUUUGGCUCUGCUCUGAUCAGAGAUGAUAGGAAAAGCGCUCGCGAGCCUCCGUGGCGAUGAGCAGCAGGCAAGAUUUUAACAGGGCCUCCACGCUUAAUGUUGUGGUCAGAGGUGAUGAAUUGAUCAGAUAUACUAGUUCUGGGUGAGCUUGGGUUAAUCUCAAGCUUCACAAUGGACAAUGAGUAAAGAGGCGAUUCUGAUCUAA